rnacentral:rRNA from 1 species
GGCGGCGUGCUUAACACAUGCAAGUCGAGCGGAAAGGCCCUUCGGGGGUACUCGAGCGGCGAACGGGUGAGUAACACGUGAGUAACCUGCCCCUGACUCUGGGAUAAGCCCGGGAAACUGGGUCUAAUACCGGAUACGACCACUCCACGCAUGUGGUGGUGGUGGAAAGUUUUUUCGGUUGGGGAUGGGCUCGCGGCCUAUCAGCUUGUUGGUGGGGUAGUGGCCUACCAAGGCGACGACGGGUAGCCGGCCUGAGAGGGCGACCGGCCACACUGGGACUGAGACACGGCCCAGACUCCUACGGGAGGCAGCAGUGGGGAAUCUUGCGCAAUGGGCGAAAGCCUGAGCCAGCGACGCCGCGUGGGGGAUGACGGCCUUCGGGUUGUAAACCUCUUUCAGCAGGGACGAAGUUGACGUGUACCUGCAGAAGAAGCGCCGGCUAACUACGUGCCAGCAGCCGCGGUAAUACGUAGGGCGCAAGCGUUGUCCGGAAUUAUUGGGCGUAAAGAGCUCGUAGGUGGCUGGUCGCGUCUGCCGUGAAAGCCGCAGCUUAACUGCGGGUCUGCGGUGGAUACGGGCCGGCUAGAGGUAGGUAGGGGCAAGUGGAAUUCCUGGUGUAGCGGUGAAAUGCGCAGAUAUCAGGAGGAACACCGGUGGCGAAGGCGGCUUGCUGGGCCUUACCUGACGCUGAGGAGCGAAAGCGUGGGGAGCGAACAGGAUUAGAUACCCUGGUAGUCCACGCUGUAAACGUUGGGCGCUAGGUGUGGGGGUCUUCCACGAUUCCGUGCCGGACGUAACGCAUUAAGCGCCCCGCCUGGGGAGUACGGCCGC